AUUGAACGCUGGCGGCAGGCCUAACACAUGCAAGUCGAGCGGAGCGGCGGACGGGUGCGUAAUACCUAGGAAUCUGCCUGGUAGUGGGGGAUAACGUCCGGAACCGGGCGCUAAUGCCGCAUACUAUCCGAUUCGCCUAGGUCGAAUUAGCUAGUUGGUGGUGUAAAGGCCUACCAAGGCGACGAUCAGUAACUGGGCUGAGAGGAUGAUCAGUCACACUGGAACUGAGACACGGUCCAGACUCCUACGGGAGGCAGCAGUGGGGAAUAUUGGACAAUGGGCGAAAGCCUGAUCCAGCCAUGCCGCGUGUGUGAAGAAGGGCUUCGGAUUGUAAAGCACUUUAAGUUGGGAGGCGUUACCAACAGAAGAAGCACCGGCUAACUUCGUGCCAGCAGCCGCGGUAAUUC
rnacentral:rRNA from 1 species